GGACGAGGUGAGGAGGAGCUGCAGAAGACGUGGAGGUGGAAGUGGAAGAGGAGGAAGAAGAAGAAGAAGAAGAUAAAGAUGAAGAAGAAUUUGAAGGAGCAUACCCAGAAGUGUUAGGAGCUGAGGAAGCAAGACCAUGAUGUUGGCGGUGGUGGACGUGAGAAGCAUGAGACAAGUCAGCUUGGAUAGAGAUGGAGCCCAUGAAGGGGCCUGGAGAUGGUCCUCCUGAUGAUCUGCCAUCAAACAAAACUUGGUGGUGGUGUUGUUGCUGGUGGUGAGAUUGGUGGGGUUCUU
rnacentral:misc_RNA from 1 species